CUGUAAGCGAGGCAUGGAAGACAUAUGCUUGUGAGAAAAAGGUGUCUAUGAAACUAUGGAUGGUACAAGAACUUCACUUGACAUUGAAGAGUACUCCAAUACUGAGGUACAGAAAAACCAAGUACUAACUCUGGAAGAAUGGCAAGACAAGUGGGUGAACGGCAACACUGCUUUUCAUCAGGAACAAGGACCUCAGCUAUUAAAGAAACAUUUAGAUACUUUUCUUAAAGGAGAGAGUGGACUGAGGGUAUUUUUUCCUCUUUGCAGAAAAGAGGUUGAGAUGAAAUGGUUUGCAGACCGGGGACACAGCGUAGUUGGUGUGGAAAUCAGUGAACUUGGGAUACGAGAAUUUUUUACAGAGCAGAAUCUAUCUUACUCAGAAGAACCAAUCACCGAAAUUCCUGGAACCAAAGCAUUUAAGAGUUCUUCGGGGAACAUUUCAUCAUACUGUUGCAGUAUUUUUGAUCUUCCCAGGACAAAUAUUGGCACAUUUGACAUGAUUUGGGAUAGAGGAGCAUUAGUUGCCAUUAAUCCAGGUGAUCGCAAAUGUCCACCAUUUUAUGUUCCACAUGCUGAAAUUGAAAGGUUGUUUGGUAAAAUAUGCAAUAUACAUUGUCUUGAGAAGGUUGAUGCUUUUGAAGAAUGACAUAAAAAUUGGGGGAUUGACUAUCUUUCUGAAAAGUUAUAUCUACUUACAGAAAAGUAAAUGAGACAUAGAUAAAAUCACAUUGACAUGUUUUUGAGGAAUUGAAAAUUAUGCUAAAGCCUGAAAAUGUAAUGGAUGAAUUUUUUAAAUUGUUUAUAAAUCACAUGAUAGAUCUAUACUAAAAAUGGCUUUUUAGUAAAGCUGUUUACUUUUUCUAAAAAAGUUUUAGGAGAAAAAGAUGUAACUAAACUUUUCAAGUAGCUCCUUUGGAGAGGAGAUUAUGAUGUGAAAGAUUAUGCCUGUGUGUCUUACAGAUUGCAAGAUAUUUUAUCAAUCAGUGUGUGUUACCUGUACAAUUAAAAAAAUAUUUUAAAAUGCAAUGCAUAUUAAACAUAAUACACAC
rnacentral:lncRNA from 1 species